rnacentral:lncRNA from 1 species
GAAAAAGUCAGUUUCUGGAAUCCAUCUGAAGUUUUAACCUGCAGCUUACAAGGGAUGAGAGUCGUUUUGAACAACGUGCGCAGUUCCUGUCCGUCAAUCCAAGAGCUUACCUGGACCCGAACCUCGGGUAGGUUAACCUUGCCGGCCAACUCUUCGCGGCUGUACACGUCGGGGUAGUGGGACUUCUCGAAGGCGCGCUCCAGCUCGUGCAGUUGGUAAGUGGUGAACGUCGUGCGGUUGCGUCGAUGCUUCUUCUUGGGAGGUUCCUCCUCCGACAGCUUCGACUCGCCUGCUGUUGGCCCAACCGGGAGUCCUGGGCUCGGACGUGCUUCUCCUUGCUCCUUGGGGUAGCAGGGCCGAGUAGCUGGGGGCAGCGAAGCCCCAAGCGGUCAGUGACAUUCAUUCCGGAGGCGAAGCAGCCUCUCUGCGGCCCUAGGCGACCCGGUGGCGCCUGAGCUGGUCUAAGGAGGCCCUCGAUGGGGACCCUAUGUGGGGUCACUAGGAUUUCUCUAACCUCAAGUCGGGCAAACCCCAAACCCACGACCUAAAGAUAAAGGAGAAGAAGCUCCUGUCUUGCAGAGCAUCCCAAGGGCUUUGCAGCCUUGCUGAGCACUCACCUUCGUACUCUGGGACGAGUCCCGGGGCUGCUGGUGGGGAAGACUCCGAGCCACCGGCGUGCGCCUUGGGGCAGGCGGGUCGCGCGCCCAGCCUGGGAUCCCGCUCUUUCGAGCCCCUGGAGCUCCUCUCUGCAGGAAAAGUGUCUAGGAUCCCGUCUUCCUUGGUAAAGCCCAGGAUGGCUUCGAUGCUGUGCAAACGCGACGUGCUCCCUCCCGGGCUGCGGAGCAGGUGGCCAGCGAGCGAGAAGCUCCCGUCGGCCAUGGCUGGCGCACAGCCGGGCAGGUGCAUGGGGAGGCAAGAGCGCACUUUGCAAACUGGAGCUCGAUGCCCGUUCCCCCUCCCCAGCCCCACUCCCUCAAAUGUGCACUUUUAGAACGUGAGCAAAUGGGUGGGUCCGUCCAAAGCUAAACUCGGCGGGCAACCGGCUUGGGCACGAUUAACCGGACCCGCUGCUGCAGCAGGAAGUUUAGCCUGGGGUAACUGGAGCUUUGGUGCUUAAAGGCCCCGCAGUGCUCUAGUCUGGGACUCCACCCUCUCUCCAGACCCAGCCCUUUUCCCUCUGUCCCUCCCCUAUAGAGGGCGGGUCUUUCUCCUCUCAGCCUAGGGUCCUGCUCCCUGUCAUCCAGGCCUGCUCCCUGAAUGUCCCUUCAUCUGAUCUAUUUCAAUUCCACAUUUUCCAGGUACCAGGAGUGGGAAGUUUGACAGGAGGGGGCACCUCUCCACCCCAGUCCGAACCUCCCAGGGUUCGCUUCACCCCUUUCUGUGUUCACCUGCCCCUUUCUUGCCUACCUCCUCCCAAUGCUUUACACUCGGGACCAUCUUCCGGCACUUGGAAGCUCCAAGAUUGGCUAAAGACUUUCCGGCUAACCCUGGGCGAUUGAAGUUAGUUCGCAGGCCUUCCUGUUUGAAUCUUCCCUUAAUCUUCCCUUCAUUUCUCCACCUAUGCUUCUGUGCUUUGACCUCCUAGACUUCAGGCUUCCUUUGUCUGUGUCUGUUUUUACUUCUCUCUGUACCCUCAGAAAUGAUGGUGAGACAGUCUGUGCCCACAGAACGAAGGACCUCAAAUAUAAGAGUUCCCAGGACCUCAAAAAGGCACGAGAUAUUUCCUCUCAUUAACUAUCUUGAAGGGCCAGGAUCCUUAAUGGAAUUACAGAGAUGAACAACCCUGGUUUUCUCCCACUUCCACAGGCCAGGCAGACGAACCAAAACUGGUAGGUGGGGACGUUCACCUGGGGAGAAGGUCCCAGUGCAUCCCUGAGAGUUAGCGCCUUAAUCCGCUUGAGUUCCUUCCCCCUUGGGGGGCCCUUGAGGCUUGCUUGACCCAGAGUGACUCAAAGGCUCAGCAGAAAGAAUACUCAUAGCAGCCUCAUUGCUCUUAGCAACUGUGAGCACUGCACCCCUCAAAGCCGAGGGUUAGAGUCCAGAUGAUGCCCAGCCUCGCUGAAGUGUUAGUCUGAGAAGGCAACUGCAGCCCCCCCCCCCCCCCCAGGAGCUGGGGUUCUGCGUUUCCCAAUUCCCCCUUUCUCAGAUCUCCACCAAGACAGACUUCUUUCUCAUUACUUCUUCUUCUUCUUGUUGUUCCUUCUACAGGGCCAACACUAUCCUGGACGAGGUCACACAAGUCACACAGAACCCAUGUAGUAGCUUUGAGGAAUUGAUGUGCCAGGCUGUGAGAAAUGACAAGUGAAUAUAUAAUGCGGAUAAGUUGACAGUGGGUUGAAACUGAAGUCUGGCUUAGCUCGGGAAGUUUGCAUUUGAAGAGGAACCUGUCAGGGUUGAAGAUGCCGCUCAGGGUGAAACAGUUGCCUAGAAACAUUUAACCCCCAGCACCUGUUAAAAUAAACUACAAUAC